ACAACUAACAGAGAUAUCCAGCUCUACACCACUGCAUGCAUUUUCCCCCCUUUGUCUUCUUCCCCUGGCCCUUCAUUUCCAGCGGACAGAUCUCUCGUCACAGCCAACACAUUUUUAUUUAUGCCUUCUCCACUCUUUUUGCACGAAUGGACCCUGUGCACAAGAGAGAAAACCUUCUAGUAAAGCAGAGGAGGAGAGAAAAAAGAGAGGGGGAGAGUGAUGUUGUAAAAGCUGUGCAGAAGUGACAGCGCUAAGCACACUCGCUUUACUUGGGAGAGAUAUACAAUUGUGUGUGACUUGACAAAAUAGACGUGGGAGACGUUUUAAAGUGCAACCUUAACUGCUAUUAUUUAGAUAUUUGAGGAUAGGGGGAAAAAACCCUCCAGCCUGUGUGCUUCAUUAUGAGAAGCUUCUGGGUUCGGGACACAGCCCAGAAAUAUAUUAAUUAAAGCGCACUACUACAGACUUUUUAGCACUGGGGAAGAAGUGGCUGGAUCAAGUCAAGCUCUGUCAACGACGGAUGGAUGAAGAUUCACGGCAGGAAAAGGAAAAAAAAAGCGAUCAAUGCCGCAGCGCUCUCUCAUUCACCCUGAACUGGUGGUGAACUCCUCCGGAACAGCCGCCAGCCUCUCCACCCUAUCCCAUCGCAGUCCGGGGUCACCAGGGGGGCGUCUCUGUGCCAAUAUGCAGAUGAGCCUGUGCCCCUCCAAUGACUCUGGCGUUAAGCUCCACCCCUCUAUAUGAUGGAGCCCCCCGCCUCACCCCCACCCAACAACACGCACACACAUAAAGACAUAAACCCACUCUCACACUGGCUUAAAUAGGCCUUUAACAGCUUAUGUCCACUCUUCCUUUAAUAGCCAAAGUGUGUCGAACCUAAUGGAUGUUGUCAAAGCCGAGAUGUGACGACUGAUUUAGAGGAGGAACCCCAAUGACCAGGCUUCACUAGCCACUAAAGACAGAGAGGGAGAGAGAAAGACGGAGGGGAAGAGAGAGAGAGAGAAUUACCUCAGCUAUGCCACAAAUCAAAGUAAUAUCUUUAAAAGAUGUGGGGAUCGAUGAGGUGUCAUCUGGCUGUGUCUUGUGUGUAAAGUGAACCCAUAAACAGCCAAUGAGUACGACUUUAUCCUCAAUUUCAGUCUCUUACUGAAAAAGUUUUUCAGCUGCUAAGCAGAUUUCUUUUUUUUUACGAGAAUUGAUCUCAUGUAUUGUUAAAACACCGUAUAGUGGACGGAGAGCCGUUCCACUUUAAUCAGUUUAAUUACAACUGGUAUCUUGUGUUUAAUUGAUGAAACUUUAAAAAUAAAAGUGCCCUGUGUAUUUAUGUGUGCUCUCUUGCAACUGUGAAUCAAUUAAGUUGCAUGUACUAAUUUUAACAAGAUCAUUGUCACUGCAUUAAUUUAAUAAAGUUUAUUGUAAAUGCAAUUAUGUCCUCAUUUAUUGU